rnacentral:rRNA from 1 species
UACGUAGGUGGCAAGCGUUAUCCGGAUUUACUGGGCGUAAAGGGAGCGUAGGCGGACUUUUAAGUGAGAUGUGAAAUACUCGGGCUCAACUUGAGUGCUGCAUUUCAAACUGGAAGUCUAGAGUGCAGGAGAGGAGAAUGGAAUUCCUAGUGUAGCGGUGAAAUGCGUAGAGAUUAGGAAGAACACCAGUGGCGAAGGCGAUUCUCUGGCCUGUAACUGACACUGAGGCUCGAAAGCGUGGGGAGCAAACAGG